AGCUGCGGCGGCGGCAGGCGCGGCCGUUCGGUGGAGCCGCCGGCUCGGCUCUGAUGGAGGCGGCGCCGAAUUCGGCUGCGCUGAGCAUCCCGGGUUGUUGGUAAAGAUCUUGGUGCCUGGGAGGUCGGAGCUUCGUCUCCUGAAAUGGUUUAUACUAGUGAACCCUGGCGCCACGUUCUGUGGCUUAUAAUCACUUUCGUCGUUGCCGCAUGAGGAAGCAAAUGACACCGCCCCUUACCCUGGAAAAGUGGCUGCAGCCUUCCCCGGAUCUUAGUUUUACUCACCCCGAAGUCAAUUUCUCGGUAACUCCACCCUGCAAAACCUCUGUGGGACUCAUCUUCAGGGCAGAGCUAACAGUUUUCUUUCUGGAAAAAAAAAAAAAUCCCUCACCUGCAGGGAACUAGGCUGAGAAUCGUGCACAUGCAGUAGUUUCCAAAUCCGUGCAGUGUGAGAUCAUAAAGCACCGGAUUUAUAUGCGGCAGUGUGUCUAUCCGAAUUUUCACUGAUGUGACGCUUUCAGUCUUUGACACAAAGACACAGAGCAGUCAUUUUUGGCAGCGUUUCAUAGCCGAAGACCCAGGAUCAGAAAGGCAAAAUAACUUGUUCAAGGUUAUAGAACUAUUAACAAAGAACUUCUGUGUUCCCUGACCAGAUUUUCUGGUUCAAAUGCCAAUAAUUUUUUCUUCCAAUCCUUUCUUCUGCCUCCUAAAAUAGUAUUGUAGUACAUUGUGUGUUUGGCGCCAUUGAUUCCCACUAAUAGAUACUCUGUAAUGGCUGAGAUAAACUACUAGCUUAAGUUCGUUUUUCCAUUUCACGUUUUGGCAGUAAGAAGUAUAUUUGAUUCAUAAAGAAGACCUACCUCUUUUGACAGAAAUUGGUUCCAUUUGCCAGAGAGAGAAGGUAGUGAAAAAUAAUUCAAGAAUGUUUUGUCACAAAUGGUCUCUGAUGAACUAGUUUCCAGGAAUGUCCUCUAACACUUAGCCCCUUCAGACUGGCUAUUUUUGGUGGCAGAGUGGCAGGCAGCAAGCACAUUUUUAAAACAACAAUCUCCAGGAACUUACCACGUUGAAGAAAUGUGGUUGUCGAUAUGCUUUCAUUUUUGGUCUUCACCUGUCAGAAUGACAACGCAAGUUUGUGUAUUGCCACAGUCAAGAUAAUCAUAAGCCUUAUGAUCAUCAUAAACCUUCUUCAUAAGUUCUCGAGUUAAAGACUGUCUAGAUUUGUACAGAAUCCCCUAAAUAAUUCCAUUUAUGACUAGUAAAUUUCUACCAGGUGUGAUAAAGUGCAUCGGUACUCGAAGGACAGCAUAAAAGCUAUGGGUUUUGUAUAAACGGUGUAGAAUAAUUCAGACAGCGAAGCGGCAUGGAUAAAGGAGAAAAGGGCCACAAGGCUAGAUGUGUCCUCUCAGUUAAUUGUUUCUGAAAAAUAAAAAAAAAAAUACAUUUGCUUGCUAAAUUGGGUAGCCACGUAAGAUUCCUUCCCGGUUUCAAUGACCUCCAAAGCUGACCAGUCCCUGAAGGGAAACUUGCUCGUGAUCUUCAGUUAACCCAAUGCAUUUUCAGUGGGUCCAGGAAAAACACCUUCUUUCUAACUUUGGCUACAUCCUCUGUCAUAAAAUUAUAAAAUAAUGGAAUGCAGAAAGGAUGAAUUCCUCUCAGCUGCUGGCAACCAAGUGGAAGAGAGAUGGAGACACAGACAUCAGAUAGAGCAGUGCGCCGGUGGCCACUGACAGCCAUCAGUAGCAAGGCGCAUCUGCCAACUGAAAAUGAAUGAGGGGAAAUGCAGGUUUAUCAAAUUUGAGCAAAUAUUGAAAGGAUGAUCAAAUCUUCAUGAUGCCAGUAAACCAGUUGUUCAUUCAUUUAGUUGUUUAAGCCAAAAUCCUAAGUGUCAUCCUUGACUUCAUAUCAUACAUUCAGUAUACAAAAAUUUCUUUCAAAUGGACUUUCAAAAUAUUCACCAAAUUUCACUACACCUUUUCACCUCCAUCCCCACCAACCCAAUUCAAACCACCAUUAUAAUGCACGAAACUGUCAAAACAACUUCCUGUCUCCCUGCUUCUCAUUCUUGAGCUUACACCCUACACCAGCCAGGAUGAUCCCAUUCAGGUGUUAAGUCUAGUCAUGUCAUCCCUCUACUCAGUACCCGCCAAUGGCUUCUCAUCACACUUAGUGUAAUACCAAAAAUUUUAGCAGCCUCUGCAAGUCCUCAUUGUAGCCUCUGGCUGCCUCUCUAAAGACCUCUCCAUACCCUCCCCACCAGCCUACCCUACCCUCCUUGCUACUCAUUUCUGCUACACUGGCAUCCUUGCUGUAUACCAAGUACAUCCCCUCUACCCAUCUUCAAUUAUUAUGGCUCACUCCCUCACUUCACGCAGAUUUCUGCAUUUCAUAAAAAACACCUUCCGGCCAGGUGCGGUGGCUCACGCCUGUAAUCCCAGCACAUUGAGAGGCCGAGGUGGGUGGAUCACCUGAGGUCAGGAGUUCCAGACCAUCCUGGCCAACAUGGGCCAACAUUGUGAAACCCUGUCUCUACUAAAAAUACAAAAAAUCAGCCGGGUGUGGUGGUGGGCACCUGUAAUCCCAGCUACUAGGGAGGCUGAGGUGGGAGAAUCACUUGAACCUGGGAGAUGGAGCUUGCAGUGAGCAGAGAUUGCACCAUUGCACUCCAGCCUGGGUGACAAGAGCAAGACCUCAUUUCAAAAAAAAAAAAAAAAGACCUUCCAUAAAUUUUCCAUCUGAUAUAGAAUUUUCCACUCUCAUUUUCCCAGUUUUACUCUUUUUCAUCUCACCUUACUGCUCGACAUUAUAUAUGGAUAUAUUGUGUGUAUUUUGCUCACCUAAUGGUGUUAAUUAGUCAUUUGUUGCCCUGUGUAAGUGAGGUCGAUGUCUUGGAUCACCUUGAUUUCAUGUUCACCAAAGACAUGUCAGAAAUUCCAGCAUUUGUCAAUUCUACCCUUAAGUUUGGUACCAUUUUUCUGCCAAUCUUUCUAGCUUUGCCUCCUGAUUCUCUCAUUGUUUUUGGUAACUGCUGGUUCUUCCACUCAUAUGGGCUUCCAAAUCUAAGUCAGCCGGCCAGUCCUCUCUCCUUCCUUAUUGGGUGCCUUGGUCCUCACCAACUUAUAUUAACCUGGCUUUUCUCUGAGAACCUAGUAUCUUCUCUGAAAGCUCACUAAUACCUAAAUUCUAGAUACAAAUACCAUUCAAUACUCGCUAAGUCCUACCAAAAAUACUUAUUUCAACCUCCCACAAAAUGUUUUAAGACCUUCACAACAAUAAAAUAGUAUAUUAAGAGCAUGUUUGAUUUGUAGAGGAUCAUAUUGCAUUUUUUUAAAGUAAUGACCAAGCAUUGUUUUCUUCCCUUAGUCGUCUCUGCCUUGAACCUUGGAAACAAGUGCUUUCAACAUAAGCGAUGUGAAGGCAUUAAAACAUGUUGAAUGGCUGUGUGCACAGGAUAUCCUACACCUGCCUGACAUCUGGAAUGCAGGUGAAGCAACCUGACCUGAUGGAGCCACCCACACUUUAGAAGAAUCUCAAAUACAGCCAACCCUGAUCUUCCUCAGCUGAAAAUCAUCCAUCUACCAAACUCACAAAUUAAACAUAACGUAAAUAUUAUUACGUUAUGCCUUGUGUUGUGGUGUUAGGCAUGCACAGAUCUGGGUUUAUCCCCUUGUGCUAGACAGUAAGUCACUUGGUUUGAGUCUGUCUGUUUCAGUGACCCUUUUCUCUAAAGCAUUUAGUUAACAUGAUGGCUGACAUCAGCGAGAACUCAGUAAAUGUGGAUUAAAUGAGAAAAUUCAAAAGAAUGAUUACUUACCUUUUUAAAGUUAUCAAUGAAUUCUAUACAAAUAACAACUUAAAGGUCACUAUGUUUCCAGGAAGUUUGGGUGGAGAGCAGAGGAUUGGUUUUCUAGACAGAGAACUUGUUAGACUGAAACAAAUCUUUCUGUGGAAAGUGUUGGGUUGCUGGCCUGAAUCCUGGCUGCUAUAGGGUCCCUGCCUCUUUCUUGGGCCCCUGACCUUAGAAGAAUCUUCCUUCAGAUAAGAAGAGGAGGCAGCUCCAAGUUUACGGCAAACCACCAGCCUCACACACCACUCCCAACCCACCCUUUUUCCAGACUUUAAAACAUCCCAGAAAAGGAUCAUGGUUGCUCCAGCCUGGACCAUGAGCUGCUGAGCAGUCGCUGAAAAUCCCUUCAACAAAAUGACAUAGCUGAUGUGAGUAAAUAGUAAUUCCUUGAAGGAAGAGAAAUUCUAUUUCCAGGGGAAUGACUGCUUGACAGAUAAAAAGAGACACAAGUAUCCCCACAUCUUGGAAUUUGACCUCUAGCCGCCACAAUUGACUAUAUUUGUCAUCACCUUCUUCUUGUCCAGCUGAACUCCUAAACCUGCCACCCCACCCCUAGCUAAGCUAAUAACAUGAAACUGUGCCCCAAAAGAUAGUGAAUAUUUACUGAAAUGCAAAACCAAGAGUUAUAAACUAUAGCCACAGACAAGACUUCUUAAAUGCAGGAAGUUUUGAAUAAGUGGGCACAAGUUAAUACAAUCAAAGAAAAACAAUAUUUGAUAUUUUGGACAUGAGCCCAAUGUGCUGGCGUAUAUGUGUGUGUGAGUGGGCAGGUGGAUGGGGGAAAUCUCACUAAUGAUGGGUGUCAUCAGGAAAGAAAAUCCAAAAACAAAACUACCAUUCAUUUGUACAAUUAACAAUUAGAAAGUGACAAAUGUUUAAUAAUACACUUGGAGUGAUACAUGGUUGUACCUGACCUCAGAAAACUCAUGGCACAACUAAGAAGACAGAGACAUAGACAUAAACAUGUCACAUAGCUUGAGUUCUAGUUGGAGGAUUAAAAGUAUUAUACAAGUACAGAGAUCUAAGAGUUCUGCAGAAGAAAGAUGAUGUUUUAUAAGAAAGUUCCUCGGAGUGGGUCAUUUGAGCUGGGAUUUGAAGGCUAAAUAGGAGUAUGUCAGGUGUGCUUCAUAUCAGCAACUAACAAAAUCAAAGAGACAGAGAAACUGCUGUAGUUGUUAAAGUGACCCCAUCUCUACAAAAACUACAAAAGUUAUCCACGGGUGGUGACACACCCCUGUGGUCCCAGCUACUUAGGGGUGCUGAGGUGGGAGGAUGACUUGAGCCCAGGAGGUUGAGUGUUCAGUGAGCUGUGAUUGUACCACUGCACUCCAGCCUGAGUGACAGAGUGAGACCCUGUGUCAAAGAAAAAAAAAAAAAAAGAAGUGACAGAAAAGUAUAAGUGAUAAGUAGGACAAACCUACCACAUAUUGAAAUAAUAGAAGACAAGCACCUUUUGCUGGAAAAGCAUCACUGCGGGAAGAAUUCCUUCCAUAUAAUUACCAAGAAGUCACUAUUCCAUCAAAUGCAACCGAGAGCCACCGAAGUACCAAGAAAUAAGCAAAUCGGCCUCUAAAAGACCACCACAGCCCACCCCACACAAUCACAUAAAAAUCCAGUUACUAAUGCUUCCACUUUCCUCUCCAGUGAGACUGCUAGAUAUGCUUAUAUCUGACUUUAAAUAUAAUCCUAAUAAAUAUGCUCACCUGAUCUUCCUGUCCACAGCAAAUGGCAAAUAACAAAUCUGGAAAUGUAAGCAGAGUAGCAGCAUUAUGAAAUAACAGCUAAUAUUCCUGCCCUGACCCCAAAGAAAGCAGAACCAAUAGUUUUAAACCUCAGCAGGAAGCAUUCAUUUAAGAAGAAACAGCUCUAUACACAGCUGAGUAGCCACUGGAGGUGUUAUUUUGCUUUGUAUCCUGAUAUUCAUCAAGCAUGUGAGUCUCCAAGAAAAGUUUAGACCUUGUUGAUUAAACAGUAAAGGAUGAUGAGAGGCUUAUUCAGAAGAUUCCCUUUCAGUAUGGUUAAUUGCAGAUUUUUACCAUGUAAAAUAACCAGAUUAAAAAGUCUUCUCAUACCAUACUCCCCUCCUUCCACCUCCAAGCUUUGGUGGGUGCACCUGUUAGGCCUUGCAGUGCCCCUGUGAGCAUGCACCCUCACCACCCUCCUCCAGCUGACCGUAAGUCACUUGAGGGCAAGUCAUUUAUAUUCAUGUAACAUUUAUAGUUUGUCCCCAGUGCUUAGUUCAAAUGCCUUGGCACAUAAUGGGUAUUCAAAAAGGGUUUAUAUAAUGGACAAAGGAAAAUGAAGUGAUUGUAACACUUUUAAAGAAGAUUUAUAUUAAAAAUGAAUGAGCUUCCCACUACACGAACACUUCUUUUGCACUCACCAAUGAAAACUAAAAUUGAUUGAUCAUUUACUAGGUCAGGCACUGUUCCAAGCGUUUCACACAUGUGAAUUUAAUCCUCACCACAGUGCUGUGAAGCAGGCACUAUUAUGUUCCCUAUACCAAGGAGGACAGUGAGGCCCAGACAAUGUGCUGUGCCCAGGCAGGCAGCCGGUAAAUGACAGAGGCUGCCUGCACACUCUGGCAGGCUGGCUCCCAAGCCCAUGCCCUAUCCACUCUGUCAUAUACCUCCAGUGUUAUAUUAUUCAUAGAAGACCAAAAAAAGAAACCUAUGCGACUCACUGCUGCUAAAAGGGGUUGAGAACGUCAGUGUAGCUUCCCCGGUUUACAAAAAAAUCUUAGUGGUUGCACAACGUUGUGAAUGUAUGUAAUGCCACUAAGUUGUACACUUAAAAUAGUUACAAUGGUCAUUUUCAUGUUAUGUAUAUUUUACCACAAUAAAACAUUUCUUUUUAAA
rnacentral:lncRNA from 1 species